GGCACCGCGCUAACAUGGGUGAUGCCAAAAGGAGGAAGACAGAGACUGCCCUUGAAGAGGGUGAGGGUGCAAACAGCUGUGUGAUGGAGGUCACACAAGAGAUGGACACUUCAGAGGAAGAAAUAUUUCCAACUCAGGAGAAGCCGUGAUGAUUCUGGAGUUAGGUGUCAUGGCCCUACUUUUAGCCAGACCAGAAGGCUGGGAAAAGGCACUCCUAGGGAAGGCCAAGUGCUAUGAUGAUUGCACCAGAAAGCAGC